GACGAACGCUGGCGGCGUGCCUAAUACAUGCAAGUCGAGCGCAGGAAGCUCACGGAACUCUUCGGAGGGAAGUGAAGGGAAUGAGCGGCGGACGGGUGAGUAACACGUAAGGAACCUGCCCCAAGGAUUGGGAUAACUCCGAGAAAUCGGAGCUAAUACCGAAUAGUUCUUCAGACCGCAUGGUCUGAUGAUGAAAGGCGCUCCGGCGUCACCUUGGGAUGGCCUUGCGGUGCAUUAGCUAGUUGGUGGGGUAACGGCCCACCAAGGCGACGAUGAAUAGCCGACCUGGGAGGGUGAGCGGCCAGACUAGGACUGAGACACGGCCCAGACUCCUACGGGAGGCAGCAGUAGGGAAUCUUCCACAAUGGACGAAAGUCUGAUGGAGCAACGCCGCGUGAGUGAUGAAGGUUUUCGGAUCGUAAAACUCUGUUGUAAGGGAAGAACAAGUACGAGAGGAAAUGCUCGUACCUUGACGGUACCUUGCGAGAAAGCCACGGCUAACUACGUGCCAGCCGCCGCCGUAA
rnacentral:rRNA from 1 species